rnacentral:rRNA from 1 species
GACGAACGCUGGCGGCGUGCUUAACACAUGCAAGUCGAACGCUGAAGCUCAGCUUGCUGGGUGGAUGAGUGGCGAACGGGUGAGUAACACGUGAGUAACCUGCCCUCUUCUUUGUGAUAACGCCCGGAAACGGGUGCUAAUACUGGAUAUUCACUGAUUCUCGCAUGGGGGUUGGUGGAAAGGUUUCUUCUGGUGGGGGAUGGGCUCGCGGCCUAUCAGCUUGUUGGUGGGGUGAUGGCCUACCAAGGCUUUGACGGGUAGCCGGCCUGGGAGGGUGACCGGUCACAUUGGGACUGAGAUACGGCCCAGACUCCUACGGGAGGCAGCAGUGGGGAAUAUUGCACAAUGGGCGAAAGCCUGAUGCAGCGACGACGCGUGAGGGAUGGAGGCCUUCGGGUUGUAAACCUCUUUCGCUCAUGGUCAAGCCGCAGCGUUGGGUUGUGGUGAGGGUAGUGGGUAAAGAAGCGCCGGCUAACUACGUG